UACGGAGGGUGCAAGCGUUGUCCGGAUUUAUUGGGUUUAAAGGGUGCGUAGGCGGUCUUUUAAGUCAGUGGUGAAAUCCUCCAGCUUAACUGGAGAACUGCCAUUGAUACUGGGAGACUUGAGUACAGACGAGGUAGGCGGAAUUGACAGUGUAGCGGUGAAAUGCUUAGAUAUCGUCAAGAACACCGAUAGUGAAGACAGCUUACUAGGCUUCUACUGACGCUGAGGCACGAAAGUGUGGGGAUCAAACAGG
rnacentral:rRNA from 1 species